GGGCAUGUGGUGUAGUUGGUUAUCACGCUCGCUUAGCAUCAAGCAUGCGAGAGGGGUCCGGUUCAAUCCCGGACAUGUCCA
rnacentral:tRNA from 1 species